rnacentral:rRNA from 1 species
CACGUAGGGUGCGAGCGUUGUCCGGAAUUAUUGUGCGUAAAGAGCUCGUAGGCGGUGUGUCGCGUCGGCCGUGAAAACCUGCAGCUUAACUGUGGGCUUGCGGUCGAUACGGGCAUCACUGGAGUUCGGCAGGGGAGACUGGAAUUCCUGGUGUAGCGGUGAAAUGCGCAGAUAUCAGGAGGAACACCGGUGGCGAAGGCGGGUCUCUGGGCCGAUACUGACGCUGAGGAGCGAAAGCGUGGGGAGCAAACAGG